GAUGAACGCUGGCGGCGUGCCUAAUACAUGCAAGUCGAGCGAACGGACGAGAAGCUUGCUUCUCUGAUGUUAGCGGCGGACGGGUGAGUAACACGUGGAUAACCUACCUAUAAGACUGGGAUAACUUCGGGAAACCGGAGCUAAUACCGGAUAAUAUUUUGAACCGCAUGGUUCAAAAGUGAAAGACGGUCUUGCUGUCACUUAUAGAUGGAUCCGCGCUGCAUUAGCUAGUUGGUAAGGUAACGGCUUACCAAGGCAACGAUGCAUAGCCGACCUGAGAGGGUGAUCGGCCACACUGGAACUGAGACACGGUCCAGACUCCUACGGGAGGCAGCAGUAGGGAAUCUUCCGCAAUGGGCGAAAGCCUGACGGAGCAACGCCGCGUGAGUGAUGAAGGUCUUCGGAUCGUAAAACUCUGUUAUUAGGGAAGAACAUAUGUGUAAGUAACUGUGCACAUCUUGACGGUACCUAAUCAGAAAGCCACGGCUAACCACGUG
rnacentral:rRNA from 1 species